ACAAUACACACAGAAUGUUUAUUAUAGCUUUAUUCAUAAUAACAAAAAAUUGGAAAUAAAUGUCAACAGGUAAAAGGAUAAAUGAAUUAUGAUAUAUUCAUAUAAUCAAAUAGUCUAUAACAAUAAAAAAAAGAAGAAGUACAUUGCUGAAAGAAGCCAGGCAUAAAACAAUAUAUACUGUAUGAUUCCAUUCACAUGAAAUCUGAGAACAACCAAAACUAACAGAUCUUUAGAAAAGAAGAGUUAUUUCUGCGAGAUGUAUAGACUAGGAAAGGGCAUAAGAGAAUUUGAAAUUUUUAAUACUUUGAUCUGAGUGUAUACAUUUUUAUAUGAUCUUGAUACGAAUGUAUACACAUGUAAAAAAAUCAAGUACACUUAUGAUUAGUGCACUCUAUUUACUGUAUAUUUGUGAUUUCUUACUUAGAAAAAAGGAGAUGGACAAAUUGGCCUGGCAUGGUUUACUCAAUAGAUUUGAUGACAGAGAGAAAAACCUAUCAGCAUACAUAUCACUUGCAAGUAAAUAAAAAUUCACUCUCAGACUAUGUAAUAUUAACAUAAACAAAGCAAAGAAAAAAACCCUGAAUCAUGACUCAUAAGGAAACAUCUAAAAUAUUAUAUAGGAAUAUAUUAUGGACCAGCCACUGUAUGUAACCAUAUCUUGAUAGCAAAAAUAGCAUGGAAGAUGAAAAACAGUAUCGAAUUUCAGAAUAUUAUUUUUAAAAAGUAGAUACAGGUUGAAUAUCUUUGGGAUGGGAAGUCUAAACAUGAAAUUCAUUCAUGUUUCAUAUAUACAUAGCUUGAAGGUAAUUUUAUACAGUAGUUUUAAUAAACUGUUGUGUGCCUUUGUUUUGACUGACCUGUCACAUGAGGUCAGGUGUGAAAUUCUCCAUUUGUGCUGUCAUGUUGGCACUCAAAAAGUUUUGGAUUUUGGAGCAUUUCAGAUUUCAAAUUUUUGGAUUAGGAAUGCUCAACCUGUAAUUCUUUAUGCUUUUGAUUCUACAGAGGCUAAAAUUUAAACAAAAAGCUUGCUGAAAUUACUGCUAUAGACUAUGCAUUAUUUCUGUAAAUAAAUACAAAAUUGAGAUUUCCCUAAGCAAAUCAAAUACGAAAACAAAUUGAAAAACUUUUUAUUUUCUAAAAAUAUCUUCUGUGGCGCACAUCUUAUUGAAGUCAGCAUCUACUGCAAUUGUGGAGUAUUAUGCCGUAAGGACCAAUCUAAUUAUAGCUGACAAGACUCCAAUUUGCCUAUACUUUUAAUGUCAAAUUUUUAAAAAACUGAUUACUAAAUAACAUACUUUCUAAGAAAUAAAAUUUCAAAUUUCCUGCUUAUUUAUACACUUUCCAUUGUACUCAAAUACUUUGUUCCCAGUUUUCCUAGAUACCUACUUCCUGGAACCUCUGUCCUACUUACUUGACACAGUAGUCAUCCUGGGACUUUCCUCGUUUUCCUUUGUGACAUCUUUUAGUUUCAGGAUCCCAUGCCUUCUCAGAUUACUCCCUCAUUUUGGUAAAGCACAUCCUCCAAGUGGCUUCCUAAGAAAAGGUAGAUGGUGAGAUAAAAUUCUGAGACCAUGCAAGUCUUAAGGUAUCUUUAUUUUAGCCCCACUCUUGAUUGGAUUAUUUGAGUACAAAAUUCUGCGUUGGAAAUCAUUUCUUUUUAAAUUUAAAGACCUUGCUUUCAUAGUCUUUCCGCAUCCAGUGUUGCUACCAAGAAAUCUAAAUGCCAUUUUGAAAACGUAUCCUUUUUAUGUAACUUUCUCCGCUACAUUUAUUGGGAAGCUUUUAGGUCCUUCCAUAACUCUAGCAUUCUGAAAUAUCCUAACAAUGUGCUUUGGUAUUUUUUAAUUCAUUUCACAGGGCACUUAGUGGACCCUUUUAAUUUAGAAGACUAAAGUCUUAUUAUUUCCGGGAAAUGUUAUUUUAAUUUUUUUCUCUCUUCACCUUCUUUCUCUGUUCUCUCAUUUUGGAACUCAUUUAUUAGAUGUUGCAUCUUAUUCAGGUUUAAGUUUCUUUUUUGUUCUUGCCUGCUUUUCAUCUCUUUGUUCUACUUUUUAAAAUUUCUUCAAGUUAUUUUCUAAUACAUCUACUGAAUGUUUACUUUUGGUUUCCUGUUUUUCCAAUAGCUUUUGUUUUUGGAUUGGUCAUUUUUUAAAAUAGCAUCCUGAUCCUAUUUGAUGGAAGCAGUAUAUUCCUUUCUGAGAAUAUCACAGCUUCUUUAUGUUCAUCUUUCAUGUUGAAGGUUUCCUCAAAUAUCUAGUGAUCCUUGGCUAUCUGUGUACAGUGAUUCCAAGUGACUGAAAGCUGUAUAUGAAGGAGCAGGCCUUGUGGACUCUCAGUUUCACUGUAACAAAUAAUCGAGGGUCAAGCUGUUUUUUUACUGCUUGUCUUUUUCGGUCAGGUGAGCAGGGCUGGGUAUAAGCCCCAUUGCCAGAUUCUGUAGCCAGGUGGAGAAAAGUGGACUGGAGGCUCAUAAUGUUCAGAAUACUCACAUUCUGUUAAUCAUUUUGUCUUCCAUAUAGCACAUCACUACCAUUACCAUCCUCCCCCUGUCCUCAGUUCUAAGUCUGUUUGGUUUAAUUUCUCCAGACAAUAAGGCUUCAGUCAUCUGCUAGAGAGAUAGCUGCCUGCCUACAAAAGAAGAGCAAAAAUAAAUGUUCAAAUAAUCCCCUUGUUUCAACUUUCUUUAUUACUCCCACCUUCCAGGGUACCUUGUGCCUUUAAAUCCUCAAGUCUUUUGGGGGUUCUGGAAGGCAAAGAUAGGUGUUCCAAAUUUGUGAACCUUUUCUGUGAUGAAGAAUGGGUAUCAUAACUGUGCUACCUAUCGAGUAUUUUUUGUUUUUAAAGAGUGAUAUACUUUCCCUUCAUGGUAAAGAAGAGUGAGAAAGUAACUGCUUAAAACACACACAGAUGGCCAGGUGCGGUGGCUCACGCCUGUAAUUCCAGCACUUUGGGAGGCUCAGGUGGGUGGAUCAUGAGGUCAGGAGAUUGAGACCAUCCUGGCCAACAUGGUGAAACCAUCUCUACUAAAAUACAAAAAAUUAGCUGGGCAUGGUGGUGCGCACCUGUAGUCCCAGCUACUCAGGAGGCCAAGGCAGGGAAAUUGCUUGAACACAGGAGGUGGAGAUUGCAGUGAGCCGAGAUCGCACCACUGCGUUCCAGCCUGGCGACAGGGUGAGUCUCCAUCUCACAACGACAACAAACCACAAACCCAAACUACCUGCUGUUGAGACAGCAUUUAAAAAAUUUGUGUUUGCAAAUAUUGUAAUGGUUAUGUGGUUAUUUUAGCUAAAUACCACGUGUCUCCUAUAAAAACUCUCAUAUCUGCAAUUGGGCCUCCUCUUCUGACACUCAACAACAGUUCUAAGAAAUAAAUAAAUAAAUAUAUAAGAAAUACAACUUGGGUCAACUAUGUGUGAGCCUUCCUUGCCCCCAGUCUCUUAUUAUUAAAUAUUAUUAUUUUAGAGAUGGGCGGUUGCUCUGGUGCCCAUGUUGGAGUGCAGUGGCAUGACCAUAACCCACUGCAACCUCAAACUCCUCAGCUCAAGCAAUCCUCCCAAUUUAGCCUCCUGAGUAGCUAGGACUACGGGUGUGCACCAGCACUGCUCCUGGCUACUAGUCAAUUACUUAGACAUAAGAAAACAACACAUACUGGAAAGAGUCAAGACAGUUCCUGGGAACAACUACAUAGACUAAAACCCAAGCUUAAUCCAUGCCACUAACAUAUUUAUAGGGUUGCAGAUAAAAUGCAGGAAACUAAAUUUGAAUUUCAGAUAAAUAACAUAACUUUUUUUCUGGUAUAUGUGCCAUAUUUCAUUAUUUUUCUGAAAUUCAAAUGUAUUCGGGUGUCCUGUAUUUCUUUUUGCUACAUCAGGCAACCCAACCCAUUUAAAGAAACGUGUCCCAAGUAGGAUGUGACAACACAGAAAAACUGCAUUCAAAGAAGGAAACUGGGGUCUGGUCCAAAGCUUUCAAGCCAUGGGAGUCUACUUAAGUACCAAGUAGGUAGACAGGGAUCAAUAUCAUAUAACACACUUUGCAGUAAGUCUACAUGGAAUGCAUUGUCUGUGGCCAACAUUAAUGCCAGCUUUCAAUUGAUUCAGAAAUUAGAGUUCUUCAGGUAGUGGCUGCACCCUUCUUUCACCAGAGCUCUGCCAGUCUAUCAGGCCAUUCUGGUUACUCAGGGUGCAACCAGAAAGCCCACCUAGGGUCUUUUUUGAUGGAAGAUGGCCAUGCCCUUGGGCUGUUCCACUUGUUUGGGUACCUCUCAAAGAAGUUGCCCCUACUGGUCCAUUGCUUAAUUAAUUUAUUGUAAACCAAAACCAUCAGCUGAUACAUUGGAGUGUCAGGUGCCACAGCUGAUACCAUAGAUGGAAGGGUAGUAUCAGGCAUAGGCUGAGCAGUUAACCCAAACUUAACAAUUUCUCCCCAAAUAAAACUAUAGUACCAGCUCCUUAUUUUGCAACACUCAUUUGAGGAGUUUCAUCUGGUUUCUGUUGCUAAUUUGAGAAACUAGCUUGGUUUAUGUGUAUACUAGGAAGUCAGUUUUAAUCUUGUUAAGCUAACCAGUAUCCUGAGUCCCUCCUGAAUGAUUGUUGUUAUAUAGAGCCUAACUCCCCUAAUGAUCCCAGGAAUUUUCAUAUCACGUGUCAGAAUCUUCCUAAAUAAACUGCCCAAAUUCCAGUCAACUUCGUUUUAUGAUUCAACUUGAAACUGUUGCUAACGUUUUUAACUGACUCCACAGUUUAGAAGAAAUAACCCUAUCGCUGUCUUCCUGUUACACUGUUAUUUUCCUUUUUUUUUUUUUUUUUUUUUAUACCAGGUACCAGUGUAACACCAGCACUUUGGGAGGCUGAUGUGGGAGGAUCACUUGAGCUCAGGAGUUCCUGACCAGCCUGAGUGAAACUGCCUCUACAAAGAAAUACAAAAAUUGGCCUGUGUGGUGGUGUGCACCUGUAGUCCACAGCUACUGAUGAGGCUGAGGUGGGAGGAUGGCUUGAGCCCAGGAGGUCGAGGCUGCGGUGAGCCAAGAUUAUGCCCCUGCACUCCAGCCUAGGCAAGAGCGAAACCCUGUGUCAAAAAAAUAAAAAAAUAAUAAUAAUAAUAAAAGAAAACCAGGCAUUCAUUUUCCAGAGCUCAUUGAGAAUAGCUGGUCAUAGCUCUCACAGAAGAUGGGAAGCCAGCAAGUGUCAGGUCACUGUGGUAUAUCCUCAUCCUUUCCAUUUCUUGGUCUCAGUUGCAAACUUAAGUCUCACUGCGGCUGCUAAUUGAAAGGAAGAGCUUGGCAAACUGCAUGGAAUUAGCAGACUCAAAUAUGUAGUCAUUAACUCAACUGUAUUUAAAAUUAUUUGAGACACAUCAUAGACAUUUUUCUUUUAGCAACAGCAAGUUGACAUAGAAGUACUGGUGGUUGGUCCAGCUAAUGUAACUCCCUCAGUCCAAUGGGUAUCACUGGCGGACAGAUACGUUACCAGCUUGCACAGUUAACUCAUGAAGUCUGAGAAGUUAUCCAUACUUCUCAGGCUGUUCUAUAUGUCCUAGCUACCUGAGCAAAACACUUUUGGCCCUGAUCUUUGUGCCACUACCUUGUGAUUAGCAGAUAUAAUUUAAAUCUGGAUACAAAAUAUCUAUAUAUUUUCUCCAUUUCCUUGGCUGAGUAUCCGUUGUGGGGGUUUAAUUGAAGUCUGCCCUCCAGAUGAAUCUUCAUUAUACUUGGAUGGCUGCUCCAUUCAAUUCUUUUAUAUGAUUCUCCACUAUAAGCUAUUUUCAAUAUGUGAAGGGCCAACAUAUGGAUUAGGGUUUAGGUUUAUUUAAUAUGACCCUAGACAGCAGAAAUGGCUUGGGGUAACAUAUAGGUUCAUAUAUUUUAAAACUAAUUUCCUAUGUGUAGUAAUCUUAUUUAGUUUUGCAUUCCCAGUGUCUGCACUAGAGUAGGCACUUCUCCAUAGCAAUAUUGGAUGAAUGGCUAAAUUUCUAACAAGAGAUAUUUAAAACUAACAGGCUGCUCCAAAAGACAUAUUCUCUAACACUGGAGCCAAAAGUAGAAAGCCAGAUGCAAGCCAACUUACGCAUCAGAAAAUAACCCAAGUGACUUCUAAAGUCUUUAAAUGCUUUAGCUAUUUACACUAUCAAAACAUUUUCAUCAGAGACUUUUUUUUUAAAAUAUGGACAGGUGUGAUAGAAGACCCAGCAGGAAGGGCUUCUAUCCCCUAGAGGGGACCUAUCAUAUGCCCUCCUGCCAUGCAUGUAUGGAUUUUUUUCUUUUCUUAGGAAGCAGAUGGGAUUAAAAGACGUGAUUAUGGUCUUUGAGGCUCAAGGUAUCUGGACUGUUUUAAUAAAAAUGUUGCCUAUGGCUGGGCACGGUGGCUCAUGCCUGUAAUCCCAGCACUUUGGGAGGCUGAGGUGGGUGGAUCACCUGAAGUCAGGAGUUAGAGACCAGCCUGACCAAUUGAGAAACCCCAUCUCUAC
rnacentral:lncRNA from 1 species